rnacentral:lncRNA from 1 species
AUGUAUUAUGUAUUCGGGUUUUGUUUUCUGUAAUUAGUUAAGACGUCAGUUUUAUCAUGUAAAUCUUUUAUAUUCAUUUGAUAAAAUUUACUGUUUGCAAUAGCAUAAAUUGUUCUAUAUAAUAAGGAUGUUCUCAUCACAAGCAGAAAACCCUAGCCGUAUUUGGCACAACCUUUUUCAACUUUUGAUCCUCAGAGCUGUACAACUUUGUACCCCCUUUUUUUGACUUUCGAACUUUUAUAUCUGGGCG